rnacentral:rRNA from 1 species
CUCUCACGACAGGUGCUGCAUGGCUGUCGUCAGCUCGUGCCGUGAGGUGUUGGGUUUAAGUCCCGCAACCGAGCGCAACCCUCAUCUCUAGUUGCCAUCAUUAAGUUGGGCACUCUAGAGAAACUGCCGCAGUUAAUGCGGAGGAAGUGGGGAUGACGUCAAGUCCUCAUGGCCCCUAUGUCCAGGGCUACACACGUGCUACAAUGGGCGGUACAAAGGGUCGCAAACCCGUAAGGGGGAGCAAAUCCACUUAAAGCCGUCCUCAGUUCGGAUUGAGGUCUGCAACUCGACCUCAUGAAGCUGGAAUCGCUAGUAAUCGCGGAUCAGCAUGCCGCGGUCGAAUACGUUCCCGGGCCUU